GAUGAACGCUAGCGGCAGGCUUAAUACAUGCAAGUCGAGGGGCAGCACGGUUAGCAAUAACUGGUGGCGACCGGCGCACGGGUGCGUAACACGUAUACAAUCUACCUUAAACAGGGGGAUAGCCUUUCGAAAGAGAGAUUAAUACCCCGUAAUAAAUUGAACGGCAUCGUUUGAUUUUGAAAGCUCCGGCGGUUUGAGAUGAGUAUGCGUCUGAUUAGCUAGUUGGUGAGGUAACGGCUCACCAAGGCGACGAUCAGUAGGGGAUCUGAGAGGACUAACCCCCCACACUGGUACUGAGACACGGACCAGACUCCUACGGGAGGCAGCAGUAAGGAUAUUGGUCAAUGGAGGCAACUCUGAACCAGCCAUGCCGCGUGCAGGAUGACGGCCCUAUGGGUUGUAAACUGCUUUUAUACAAGAGAAAACCCUGGUACGUGUACCAGGUUGAUAGUAUUGUAAGAAUAAGCAUCGGCUAACUUCGUGCCAGCAGCCGCGG
rnacentral:rRNA from 1 species